UCGCCUCAGCGGCCGGCCGCCGCCUCCUGCUCUUGCCGCCCCGCGUCGCCAUGCAGCCCGUGUCGUCGCCGGUUGCCCUCAGAGUGGCUCCGCACGACCCGUACAGGCCCCGUACGCCGCCCCCCGCGAGCCCCUACCCCUACCCAGUGGCUUGCGUCGUCGUCCAGCCCCCGCAAGACUUCGUCAUCUGGUCGAUGUUUAGUUUAACCUUCAUGAACCACUUCUGCCUCGGUUUCGCCGCUCUCAUUUUCUCCAUCAAGUCAAGGGAUUGUAAAGUCAUGGGAGAUAAUGAAGGUGCAGCUAUGCAUGGCAGGAAAGCAAAGUACCUGAAUAUCCUUGCUUUGAUAGUGGGAAUCACAUUCUUCGUUAGUAUGGUUGCCGUGAUUGCGUUUGAUCCACCACCUUUCCAUAGAGCAGUGAAAGCAAUACUGCAGAGAUACCAAUGAUUCAAGCUGGCUAAGUUGGAACUUGUGUGUUAAGGAUAUUCUGCUCCGUACUGUAUUUAUAUCCUUUGGCUGCACUUUCUUCUGCUUUGAUUAUACCCACUUUGCUCUUAACACUUGCAAGGAAUGAGACAGUCUAAAGAAGACAGGACAUCCGGCGCAUCUGAAGAUAUAAAGGUUUAUGCUCUUCUUUGCAGCUCUACAAUCCCACCUUGUUUACAAGGACUAUGAAAGGUUAGGGUGAUCAUCCUCAACUUCUUUAUCCAGUUUGUGUUUCUCAAUACCAGUCUCAAUGUUUGAGUGAUGUUUUCUCUGUCCUAAAGUCUGGAUUUGUGGCAUUCCUAGUUCAUGAUGUUGAUGGGAACCAUCACUCUUUCUGUUUCAUUUUUCAGGAUUUUCACAAGUUUCUCAAUUAAAGUGUAUUAGAGCUUUCAUGUAUUGAAAUAUGAAGUCUCUGGUGAAUUCUCUGCAAAUAAAGGCAUAUCCUUCUGA